GAUGAACGCUGGCGGCGUGCCUAAUACAUGCAAGUCGAGCGAACGGACGAGAAGCUUGCUUCUCUGAUGUUAGCGGCGGACGGGUGAGUAACACGUGGAUAACCUACCUAUAAGACUGGGAUAACUUCGGGAAACCGGAGCUAAUACCGGAUAAUAUUUUGAACCGCAUGGUUCAAAAGUGAAAGACGGUCUUGCUGUCACUUAUAGAUGGAUCCGCGCUGCAUUAGCUAGUUGGUAAGGUAACGGCUUACCAAGGCAACGAUGCAUAGCCGACCUGAGAGGGUGAUCGGCCACCAUGGAACUGAGACACGGUCCAGGCCCCUACGGGAGGCAGCAGUAGGGAAUCUUCCGCAAUUGGCGAAAGCCUGACGGAGCAACGCCGCGUGAGUGAUGAAGGUCUUCGGAUCGUAAAACUCUGUUAUUAGGGAAGAACAUAUGUGUAAGUAACUGUGCACAUCUUGACGGUACCUAAUCAGAAAGCCACGGCUAACUACGUG
rnacentral:rRNA from 1 species